GCCAACGUUCAUAUCACGUUGAAUACACCAGUUCUCGUCCGAUCACUGAAGUUAAGCAACGUCGAGCGUGGAUAGU
rnacentral:rRNA from 1 species